UGUCGGGCGUCUAAGAGAUACUGGUAAUCUUGGAACCGGGAGAGGGUGAGGGGUACUUCGGGGGUAGGAGUGAAAUCCUGUAAUCCUCGAGGGACCACCUGUGGCGAAGGCGCCUCACCAGAACGGCUCGACAGUGAGGGACGAAAGCUGGGGAGCAAACCGGAUUAGAUACCCGGGUAGUCCCAGCCGUAAACGAUGUGCGUUAGGUGUAUCGGUGACCACGAGUCACCGAGGUGCCGAAGGGAAACCGUGAAACGUACCGCCUGGGAAGUACGGUCGCAAGGCUGAAACUUAAAGGAAUUGGCGGGGAGCACCACAACAGGUGGAGCCUGCGGUUUUAAAUUGGACUCAACGCCGGAAAUCUCACCGGAUAAGACAGCAGAAUGAUUGCCGGGCUGAAGUACUCUGCAUGACUAGCUGAGAGGUGGUGCAUGG
rnacentral:rRNA from 1 species